CAGGGAAUAGUUUAGAUAGAACUUCAGCUUUGGGUGUUGAUAG
rnacentral:tRNA from 1 species